rfam:Babesia bovis strain T2Bo apicoplast, complete genome, whole genome shotgun sequence.
AUAAAUAUGGCGGAAAUGGUAGACGCGCUAAAUUUAGGAUUUAGUUAUAUAUAAGAGUUCGAGUCUCUUUAUUUAUA